rnacentral:rRNA from 1 species
CGGGGUGCUUCGGCAUUGAGUGGCGGACGGGUGAGUAACGCGUGAGAAUCUGGUCUAGGGUUGGGGACAACCACGGGAAACGGUGGCUAAUACCGGAUGUGCCGAGAGGUGAAAGAUUAAUUGCCCGAGAAUGAGCUCGCGUCUGAUUAGCUAGUUGGCGGGGUAAGAGCCCACCAAGGCGGCGAUCAGUAACUGGUCUGAGAGGAUGACCAGUCACACUGGGACUGAGACACGGCCCAGACUCCUACGGGAGGCAGCAGUGGGGAAUUUUCCGCAAUGGGCGAAAGCCUGACGGAGCAAUACCGCGUGAGGGAGGAAGGCCCUUGGGUUGUAAACCUCUUUUCUCAGGGAAGAAAACUGAC